CAUGGCUCCUUGAACAUAAUAUAUAAGGAGUCGGACCUGCCCAGUGAAAUAUUUUUAACGGCCGCGGUACUCUGACCGUGCAAAGGUAGCAUAAUCAUUUGCCCUAUAAUUGAGGGCUAGUAUGAAUGGUUUGACAAGAAUAAAGCUGUCUCCGUGUAAUUAUAUAGAAUUUUAUUUUUAGGUGAAGAAGCCUGAAUUAUAUUAAAAGACAAGAAGACCCUAUCGAGCUUUAAAGAAAUUAAUAAAGUAAUAAUAAAUAUUAAUUAAAAUAAAUUUUAUUAAAAAUUUUGGUUGGGGCGACAAAGGAACAGUUAAAGCUUCUUUUUGAAUAACAAGACCUACAGGUAAUUGAUCCAGAAUAAUUCUGAUUAAAGAAAUUAGUUACCGUAGGGAUAACAGCAUUAUCUUUUUUGAGAGCUCAUAUCGAAAAAAAGGUUUGUGACCUCGAUGUUGGACCAGGAUAUCCAGAAGAUGCAGAAGUCUUCAAGGGUUGGUCUGUUCGACCAUUAAAAUCCUACGUGAUCUGAGUUCAGACCGGCGUGAGCCAGGUCAGUUUCUAUCUUUUAUUAAUAAAGUAAGUUUAGUACGAAAGGACCAACUUAUAGUAUUGUUAUAAUAUUGACCUAAAGAUUAAAUAUAAUAUAGGAAUAAAUAAAAUUAAU
rnacentral:rRNA from 1 species